UGAAUGGGAAAGUGGGUAAUAACUGUUUUAAUAUUAGCAUAUUUAAAUUAUUUAGUAAGUGAAAAUACUUACAGAUAGAUAAUAGACGAGAAGACCCUAGAAAUUUUUUAUAAAGUAACUUAUAUAUUCUAUUUUGUUGGGGCGACAUGGUAACAUAUUAACUUACCAUAUAAAACACGAAAUUAUUUCAAUGAAAGAUUAAAUUACUCUAGGGAUAACAGCAUUAUUUAUUAAUAAGUUUGUGACCUCGAUGUUGGACUAGGAAUAUAUAUAUUUAGAAGAUAUACAUAUAAAGCUCUGUUCGAGCUAUAUUCUCCUACAUGAUCUGAGUUCAAACCGGAGCUCCA
rnacentral:rRNA from 1 species